AACACGUGGGCAAUCUGCCCUGCACUCUGGGACAAGCCCUGGAAACGGGGUCUAAUACCGGAUAACACCCCCUCUCGCAUGGGAGGGGGUUGAAAGCUCCGGCGGUGCAGGAUGAGCCCGCGGCCUAUCAGCUUGUUGGUGAGGUAGAAGCUCACCAAGGCGACGACGGGUAGCCGGCCUGAGAGGGCGACCGGCCACACUGGGACUGAGACACGGCCCAGACUCCUACGGGAGGCAGCAGUGGGGAAUAUUGCACAAUGGGCGAAAGCCUGAUGCAGCGACGCCGCGUGAGGGAUGACGGCCUUCGGGUUGUAAACCUCUUUCAGCAGGGAAGAAGCGAAAGUGACGGUACCUGCAGAAGAAGCGCCGGCUAACUACGUGCCAGCAGCCGCGGUAAUACGUAGGGCGCAAGCGUUGUCCGGAAUUAUUGGGCGUAAAGAGCUCGUAGGCGGCUUGUCACGUCGGUUGUGAAAGCCCGGGGCUUAACCCCGGGUCUGCAGUCGAUACGGGCAGGCUAGAGUGUGGUAGGGGAGAUCGGAAUUCCUGGUGUAGCGGUGAAAUGCGCAGAUAUCAGGAGGAACACCGGUGGCGAAGGCGGAUCUCUGGGCCAUUACUGACGCUGAGGAGCGAAAGCGUGGGGAGCGAACAGGAUUAGAUACCCUGGAGUCCACGCCGUAACGGUGGAACUAGGU
rnacentral:rRNA from 1 species